rnacentral:rRNA from 1 species
GAUGAACGCUGGCGGCGUGCCUAACACAUGCAAGUCGAACGAAGACAUACCGACGGAAUCCUUCGGGAGGAAGAUGGUAUGGACUGAGUGGCGGACGGGUGAGUAACGCGUGGGUAACCUGCCCUGUACAGGGGGACAACAGUUAGAAAUGACUGCUAAUACCGCAUAAGCGCACAGUACCGCAUGGUACAGUGCGAAAAACUCCGGUGGUACAGGAUGGGCCCGCGUCUGAUUAGUUAGUUGGCGGGGUAACAGCCCACCAAGACGACGAUCAGUAGCCGGCUUGAGAGAGUGAACGGCCACAUUGGGACUGAGACACGGCCCAAACUCCUACGGGAGGCAGCAGUGGGGAAUAUUGCACAAUGGGGGAAACCCUGAUGCAGCAACGCCGCGUGAGUGAAGAAGUAUUUCGGUAUGUAAAGCUCUAUCAGCAGGGAAGAAAAUGACGGUACCUGACUAAGAAGCCCCGGCUAACUACGUGCCAGCAGCCGCGGUAAUACGUAGGGGGCAAGCGUUAUCCGGAUUUACUGGGUGUAAAGGGAGCGCAGGCGGUGCGGCAAGUCAGAUGUGAAAACCCGGGGCUCAACCCCGGGACUGCAUUUGAAACUGUCGGACUAGAGUGCCGGAGAGGUAAGUGGAAUUCCUAGUGUAGCGGUGAAAUGCGUAGAUAUUAGGAGGAACACCAGUGGCGAAGGCGGCUUACUGGACGGUAACUGACGCUGAGGCUCGAAAGCGUGGGGAGCAAACAGGAUUAGAUACCCUGGUAGUCCACGCCGUAAACGAUGA